rnacentral:rRNA from 1 species
AGAUCAAUUUAUCGGUCGUGCCAAUGGUAUGAACUGGUACAAUUGGUUUCUCCCUUCUGAUAAAGCGUGAUGCCAUUAACUUGGUGUCGCCGGGGAAUCAGGACUGUUACUUUGAAAAAAUUAGAGCGUUUAAAGCAGGCUUAGGCUUGAAUACAUUAGCAUGGAAUAAUGAAAUAGGACGUUCGAUCCUAUUUCGUUGGUUUCUAGGAUCGACGUAAUGAU